UACGUAGGGUGCGAGCGUUGUCCGGAUUUAUUGGGCGUAAAGAGCGUGUAGGCGGCCAAGCAGGUCCGCUGUGAAAACUCGAGGCUCAACCUCGAGACGUCGGUGGAAACCGUUUGGCUAGAGUCCGGAAGAGGAGAGUGGAAUUCCCGGUGUAGCGGUGAAAUGCGCAGAGUAUCGGGAAGAACACCCGUGGCGAAGGCGGCUUGCUGGGCCAGUUCUGACGCUGAGGAGCGAAAGCGUGGGGAGCGAACAGG
rnacentral:rRNA from 1 species